rnacentral:tRNA from 1 species
GGCUCAGUGGUAAAGAAUCUGCCUGCAAUGCAGGAGACCCAGGUUCAAUCCCUGG